rnacentral:lncRNA from 1 species
UUUCUAUCCAGAAAGUUGGGUUUUCAUGAUCUGAGCUUCCUUAUGUCUCCUUCUCUUUGUGCAAACUUAAACCAGUCAUAGAUUGUCACCCAGACAUAUUCUCCAACCCAGCAUUGGAAAUCUGAACGAAUCUUUUCUCUUUUUGUCCUACAAGUUUGUCAGAGAUGAGAAUGGAUUGCUGUCUACAUUCUACAACCAGACCCUAGACUUUAUACCAGGCUGUGCCACUUCCUCUUCACUUCACUCAGAGGAUGGCCCCAAAACUGAAAAGGAAAUGAAAUAAUCAAAUAUACCAAAUCCGAAUUUGACUUUAUUUGAUGACUCAAUAUUUUCCUUCCAGUACUCUAAUUUUUUUUUAUGGCAAUGGCCUAUAUGGCACAAGAACCACCACUUAAAGCAAAUCUGUUGAACAUUUUUAUAAGGGAUGAGCAAGAAAAACACACUCCAAAAUUUUAAAGUGCCAUUAAUCAAUUUUUAAGAAUAAAGGUAAUAUGAAAUGAGGGCUAAACAAUGUAAUAUAACUGCCAGUUAAGGUAGACAGUAGUUGUGGUCUUAGUUACAUUUGAUAUGGAGUUGUGUAAUAUUAAGCAGAUCCCAGUGGAGUUAGUAAAAACAUAGGUAUUGAGUUUUAAUGGCUACCAAUUGGGAUAUAUACUUAGCCUGCAGGCUGAACUUUAGUCAGUGUUUUUCUAUCAUGUUGUUUUGUGAACAAGUCAAAAUUUAUACAAAGCUACCCUAAGUGCUGCAAUUGCAGAGGAACUUGCCUCUUCGUGAUAUUAGAGGGCAGUCCAACUCCGCUCAAACUGAGUCCAAGAUUUGAAUUCAUCCAGAAAAACAAAUGGAGGAGAAAAGCCUAAUGCACCACAUGUGUUUGGCAUUUCAUGGCUGGGACAAUGGAGUAGAGGGUAGGAAGACAAGCUGUAGAACAAAAGCAAAGUGAGGUAGAAAGUAACAGGUCCCAGACGAGGACAGACUUAGAGAUGUGUAACCUUGGAUCCUCUUUUUCACUUAGAAUAUGGGUAAACUUCUUAGCACAAGACUGGAUUAAGAGAAGUUCUUUCUGUUAAACUCACCUAGGGUAGUGGCUUUGAAGGCCUCAGAGGAUUAAUAGAUUCCCAAAAUUUUCUUCCAGACCUGGGAGAUGGAGAGAAAGAGGUUCUUGCUUUAAAGCGGCUCGAAGACAAUCUUUAUGACUUCAGCAACUCUUCAACAUAGUAGCACCAAUAAAGGAGAGAUUAUGUUAACUUCCUAGUGGUGAGAAUACCAUGGGAUGGGAGAAGGGCCAGUGAGUGGGAUGGGAAUGAGCUUCAUCAGGAACAGAUUUCAGACUCUGCAGGGUGCACCGGUUCUAGCCUCAAAUAACAACAUUGCAAGGAGGUGGACUACAGGGUCCACACCCUCUGUCCUUCGGGGCCCAUGGUCAGGCCAUUCCCUCUUUGUUUUGCUCCUAGAGGAUGAGCAUGUAAGAUGAGAUCAGGAGGGAAAUUGGGUGCUCUGCCUCAGGCUGUUAAAAUGCUGCUACCUGCAUUCUAAAACGUGCAAGUCAUGCCCCACAAGACACCUCCUUAGGGCAGCAUCCACUGUGGUGUGCCAGCCUGACACCCCUGCAGUCACGGUGUUUGAAUGGCAGCUGAUGCUGGCCCACCCAGAGUAUCGGUGCAUCUCUCCUAAAGCCACAGUUCAGCACUGCAUGUUGACCAGGCGGAUAUCCUAUAAUAUAGAUGCUCGUUUGGAUCCAAAAGGAAAACCAUUAAAAAUAAAAGAAAGAUGAAAAACUUUAAUGUUUUGGGGGGGAUAAAAGAAAAGAAUAAAUAAAACCUUGUUGUAAAGAAUGCAUCGGCCUGAUUUCCCUCACUUGAUGUGUUUCUUUGCUGCUACCAGAAAGGGAAAUCAUGGGAGUGAAGCCUGCCAGGACC